rfam:Gossypium arboreum cultivar AKA8401 contig_630_1, whole genome shotgun sequence.
UGUUAAAAUAUUUAUCAAUUUCUGCUGUUAAAAAUUAGUGUUAUCAACAAAAUAACUAGACAAUUACAUGUAGCAUGUUAUGCAUACCUUAUGUUGGCAUACAAUAACCAAUUUUCAACAAUAGAAAUAGAUGCAAAUUUUAACA